rnacentral:rRNA from 1 species
GAUGAACGCUGGCGGCGUGCCUAAUACAUGCAAGUCGAGCGAACAGACGAGGAGCUUGCUCCUCUGACGUUAGCGGCGGACGGGUGAGUAACACGUGGAUAACCUACCUAUAAGACUGGGAUAACUUCGGGAAACCGGAGCUAAUACCGGAUAAUAUAUUGAACCGCAUGGUUCAAUAGUGAAAGACGGUUUUGCUGUCACUUAUAGAUGGAUCCGCGCCGCAUUAGCUAGUUGGUAAAGUAACGGCUUACCAAGGCAACGAUGCGUAGCCGACCUGAGAGGGUGAUCGGCCACACUGGAACUGAGACACGGUCCAGACUCCUACGGGAGGCAGCAGUAGGGAAUCUUCCGCAAUGGGCGAAGGCCUGACGGAGCAACGCCGCGUGAGUGAUGAAGGUCUUCGGAUCGUAAAACUCUGUUAUUAGGGAAGAACAAAUGUGUAAGUAACUAUGCACGUCUUGACGGUACCUAAUCAGAAAGCCACGGCUAACUACGUG